GUGGAGGCGGGAGGGGGAUGGCACAGCUAGAUGGCACAGUGCUUAGAGAUUAGGCUUGGAAUCAGAUAGACUCAUCUUCAUGAGCUCAAAUCCAGCCUCAGACAUUGGCCAUGUAACCCUGGGUGGAACCAAAGAGAAGUCAAGUUCAAUGUCAGAGAAUUGGGGAAAAAUCUGAACAAAGGUGGUACCUACCUUUGCUCUCUCCACCACAGACAAUGAUCUUUGGACAGAAAAAGGACAGAACAAAAAUGGCUCUAAGGAAGCUGACACCAGGUAAAAUGGGAGGUAGUAAGAGAGGGUCCGGCUACCCUUAAAAUUAUGCAGCCCAAAUGAGCUAUAUAACCCAACUAACCAAGGAUACCGAAAACAUUGAUUGCUGGUGAUGUUGAACCAUCAUGGAGAGGAGGGGAGGUACC
rnacentral:lncRNA from 1 species